rnacentral:pre_miRNA from 13 species
GUUCGUUCCUUGCAACAACAUCCUGAUGCUGCCAGAGCGGGUCUGGUGGCUCCAGCAUCAGUGAUUUUGUUGCAGGGAGCG